rnacentral:lncRNA from 1 species
GACCACACUUUCAUCUGUGACAGGAAGUCAGAUGUCACAGAAGAGGUCCUGCUAUACCGAGACAACACAUUGGGGAGGGAUCCAGAGAGAGAGCCUCAGCUCAGUGCCCAGCCAACAUCCAGCCUCCAGUGCAACCACGUGAGUGAUGGGCUGGGAUAUCAGCUGAGGACCACAGCCCUAGGUGAACAUCUGGACCAUAACUUCAUCACCUUACCAGACCCCUGACCCACAAAGCCAUGCAUGAGCAAAAUAAAAUAAAACACCUCUAAGUUUGGGAAUCA